UACGUAGGGUGCGAGCGUUAAUCGGAAUUACUGGGCGUAAAGCGUGCGCAGGCGGUUCUGUAAGUCAGAUGUGAAAUCCCCCGGCUUAACCUGGGAACUGCGUCUGAUACUGGAGGGCUUGAGUAUGGGAGAGGGAUGUAGAAUUCCAGGUGUAGCGGUGAAAUGCGUAGAUAUCUGGAGGAAUACCGGUGGCGAAGGCGGCAUCCUGGACCAUUACUGACGCUGAGGCGCGAAAGCUAGGGGAGCAAACGGG
rnacentral:rRNA from 1 species